CUUGUAGUUCAGUGCUGGUUGCAGACUUCCGGAUGACGCGGAUGGUCGAACUAAGUAGUCGACCUCCGUACUGCAAGAUUCACUCUGACCGAGGGGAUAUCCAACGGAUGUUGUUAGCAUCAGAUACGAAAAAAGUGCGUCAGGUACCACGAGAAUCCGUCACUGCUCUGGAGGAAGUUUGCAGUGAAGCGAGCGGCAUUUCGGGUGAACUGCAAGGCGGGCUGGGAUUUAUAUACCCCGGCACAAAAUGGUGCGGACCAGGUAACAUUGCAUCGAAUUUUUCCGACGUGGGACGUUACGAAGCAGAGGAUCAGUGCUGCCGAGAGCAUGAUUUGUGCCCUAAUAUUCUGUUGCCAGGCGAGUGUCGCCGCGGAUUGUGCAAUAGUGGCGCUUUCACUCGAUCGCAUUGCGAUUGCGACGCUCGUUUCCGAAGGUGCCUGCAAAAUUUGAAUACAGAAACGGCUAACACACUUGGUGCCAUAUUCUUUAAUGUCGUCCAGGUAACAUGCUUCGGCGAGAGAAGACCAUGCUCGGUUUGGCAAAGUGGAUCGGAUUCAAUAUACAACUGCCCAAUGCAAUUCUACCGUUCUGGAACGUACAGUCUGCCAGACUUUGCCUCCUACGUCACACAUAAUUCAAUCCGCAAUUCACGUUCAUUCAAAGUCGGAACGUCCUCACCGAAUGAUUUAGCGGCAGGUGAUAGUCGCUUGAAAAUCGAUUCGUUGGGCUUGAUUUCACAAAAUCUAUUUAAGGAUCUUUUCAUUAGGCCGUUGAAUGGAUACACAAAGUACUGGUUAACGGCUAAAUCAGUUAUUUAUGGCUAGUUCAGAUCAGCAUAAAUAUGAGACAAAAUAAAUUUAGAUCCCUGUCAGCUUGAAGCACUUAGUUCAAGUGCAUCUACUCAUUUUAGACUGAAAAAAAUGCACUGCAUUAAAUACUCUACAGUAUUACUACCUCACGCAGUUUGGAGCUUUCAUUAGCGAUUUUUUUAUUUGAAUAAUAUCAUUAAAAAGUCUCGAUAAAAGAUAAGUGAGCAAAAUUGCGGGUGUAGAGAACGGGUUCAAUUGCUAGAAACAAUAAAAUCAAACAAUGCAGUGGAAUUAUAAGGCAGACCGAAAGUAAUAUGAUCUGUGCAGGAGUCGGGCCGGAUAUGAUGGGUUGGGUUCAAUCAGACUGAAGCGGACGAGCUGUGUUCUCGAUGGAAGUAUCGGCCGAGUGAAAAAUACAUCCCCAUCAUGCAACAAAAGUCUAACAAGUAAUCAUGACUCUAUGGAGCGUUUGUCGCAAUGCUAAU